GGAGAGAUGGCUGAGCUGGUCGAAGGCGCACGAUUGGAAAUCGUGUAGGCCCCAUAAAGGUCUCGGGGGUUCGAAUCCCCCUCUCUCCGCCA
rnacentral:tRNA from 1 species